UACGAAGGGGGCUAGCGUUGCUCGGAAUCACUGGGCGUAAAGCGCACGUAGGCGGCUUUCUAAGUCAGGGGUGAAAUCCUGGAGCUCAACUCCAGAACUGCCUUUGAUACUGGAGAGCUCGAGUCCGGAAGAGGUGAGUGGAACUCCGAGUGUAGAGGUGAAAUUCGUAGAUAUUCGGAGGAACACCAGUGGCGAAGGCGGCUCACUGGUCCAUUACUGACGCUGAGGUGCGAAAGCGUGGGGAGCAAACAGG
rnacentral:rRNA from 1 species